GAUGAACGCUGGCGGCGUGCCUAAUACAUGCAAGUAGAACGCUGAAGGAGGAGCUUGCUCUUCUGGAUGAGUUGCGAACGGGUGAGUAACGCGUAGGUAACCUGCCUGGUAGCGGGGGAUAACUAUUGGAAACGAUAGCUAAUACCGCAUGACAACAGUUAUUGCAUGAUAACUGUUUAAAAGGGGCAACUGCUCCACUACCAGAUGGACCUGCGUUGUAUUAGCUAGUUGGUGAGGUAACGGCUCACCAAGGCGACGAUAUAUAGCCGACCUGAGAGGGUGAUCGGCCACACUGGGACUGAGACACGGCCCAGACUCCUACGGGAGGCAGCAGUAGGGAAUCUUCGGCAAUGGACGGAAGUCUGACCGAGCAACGCCGCGUGAGUGAAGAAGGUUUUCGGAUCGUAAAGCUCUGUUGUAAGAGAAGAACGAGUGUGAGAGUGGAAAGUUCACACUGUGACGGUAUCUUACCAGAAAGGGACGGCUAACUACGUG
rnacentral:rRNA from 1 species